CAGAGGGCAGUGAGAAGUAGCAGGUUCCCCUGCUUGCUCGCUUACUGGGGGGUGGGAGGUGGGCAAGCUUGUUCCUUAUGUGGGGUGACAGUAGGGGUUGUCCAGGCGUGGGACUGCAGGGUGGUUUGCCCACCCCUCAGGUGCUGUUGUGAGCAGGGCGCAUGCGGGCUACCCUGCUUUUGCUCCCAAUCCCCUGCUUUUGUUCCUGGCUUUUCAGAGGUGAUAACUAAGGGGUGGUUUGGUGGUUUUUUGUGUUUUUUUGGUAUCUUUUGUCCAGAAUUUACCCCAACUGUGCAUGCAUGGAGUUAUUUUUAGUGCCAUAGAGUUUCUUUGUGUUUUGUUGCUGGGGGAGAGGUGUGUCCAGGUGCAAGUAUUGCAGAAAAGGGUCCAGAGUCCAAGCCUGUCUCACUUCCCACUGAGAGACUCUACACCCUUAUCCUUAAGGGGUAAGGGACUGACGGUCUCUUCUGAAACUUCAUCCUGCUGGUCUUCCCGGAGACCCUAGGUUUCCCUAGAGGUGUAGAAGUCCCUUGCUGACUGUUCCAAGGACUUGUAGGGACCUGAAUCACCCUCCACGGAAAUGGGUUGAACUCCUUGAGUCAUCAUGAGCCUUACUGCAAACUUUGGAGCCUAGUAGACACAAACUUAAUCAAAAGGUUAAACAAACAAGGGCUAGAAAGAAGAACAACAAUAAAAGGGCCUAGACGGGGAAGGAAUCAGGUGAACUUUGAGAGGGCUCCCUUGACUGUUGACCAGUCAGUGGAUGACGUCACCCCUGCCAUGAAGUCAUUCUGCUUGGGUGUAUAUUUUUGUUUAUAUCAGGAUUAAAAUUGAACAUGUUUCUCUACUUUUAGAAUGGGAGAUCUGGCCCUGUUGGUUCCAGGUCUCCUUCUUGGACUGAAAAGUCACAAGUUUUCGACACUUGGGAAGACAAGGGAGCACUAGAGGAAAUAUGGCACAAAUCAACAUUGACUGAAAAGAAAAGGGUUAUGAAAACAUGAAAACCUCCUGACAGAAAGCUUUUUAUACCUUGUAGGAUCCAGGAGAACAAACAAGCAGACCAGUUUUCAGUUUCCCCACCUGUAUUGAGUAACAGGAUUGGAGAUUGAUUGUCUGCUGAGGCCAAAUGGCUUUUCCCAGUGUUGGUUUCUCCCUGGUAUGGGCCUCAGAGCUGUUUUUUUCACCUCCCAAUCUGCCCUGCUGUUCCCUUGGAUAAAUUGAGAAUUUUCGUUUUGCUGCCCAUGGCUUAGGCCUAAAAUAGCUUGUUUUCCAAUCUGGAGAUAGCCGUCUACUUCCAGGGUUUAUAACAUAUCUCAGAUAUUUGACUUGUUGUUUUGAGAGGUGUGCCUUCAUUUGGGAGAACCUGUGAACCCAGGUCUCAAGGAAAUUAAGGACUUCAGUGGUAUUCUGAUCUGAGGCCUCCAUGGUGGGAUUACAUAUUAAUAAGCUGUCUACAUAGUGUAGAAUAGCCUCUUCUUUUAGGUGUAUUUCCCUCAGUUCUCUUCCUAGGGCCUGGGCAAACAAGUGUGGGCGGCCUUGAAAACCCUGAAGCUGUGCUGUCCAGGUAUAUUGUCGCAUUCGACUCCACUGGGGGUUAGUUCACUCAAAGGCAAACAGAUCCUGAGAGGAGGGAGAAAUGGGAUUCAAAAGAGGGCACUCCUGAGGGCAAGCACAGUAAACCGCUUGGCUUCUCCAGGAAUCUGGACUAAUGCAAGGACUGGCCAUGUGGGGACUUACAGGGACCCCCACCUUGGGUACAGUUCUAAGGCCUUGUGUGAUUCGAUAUUCCCCCAUUGACUUAACAACUGGCAGAAUUAGGAUACUGCGUGGGGCUUUCCUGGUGGCUCAGACAGUGAAGAAUCUGCCUGCAAUGCAGGAGACCCCAGUUCGAUCCCUGGCUUGGGAAGAUCCCCUGGAGAAGGGAGCGGUUACCCACUCCAGCAUUCUUGCCUGGAGAAUUCCAUGGACAGAGGAGCCUGGCAGGCUACCGUCCAUGGAGUCGCAGAGUCAGACACAACUGAGAGACUAACACUUGUUCACUGUGGAGACAGAUGGGGUACUAAGAGGCCAUGUUUUAAGAAUUUAUCUGUGAGGGGUUGCAAACUUUUUUUGCUUCCAACUUUAUGUCUUGUUAGUGGCUUCUGGCUUAAGGUUAAUUUUUACAGGUUGGACAUAGACUUCCUAAGGAUUCUUUCACCCCAAACUACAGGGAAUAGGACCUUGCUCUUCUGAGUGAUCUUUCUUAUUCAGAGUCAAGAACAGGGGCUGCCUGGGGUCUCCUAAUUGUCAUAUGGCUGAGAGGGAGCCGUAUUAUGGUCUCUCCCCAGUAGUGGUGAGAACUUCCCUGGUUGCUCAGAUGGUAAAGUGUCUGCCUACAAUGUGGGAGACCCAGGUUCGAUCCCUGGGUCAGGAAGAUCCUCUGGGAAAGGAAAUGGCAACCCACUCCAGUGCUCUUGCCUGGAGAAUCCCGUGGGCAGAGGAGCCUGGUGGGCUACAGUCCAUGGGGUCGCAGAGAGCCGGACACGACUGAGUGAAUAAACUUCCCAGUAGUGGGGCAGGAAGCUCAGGCACAGCUCCAGAGGUGUGUGUUCAGCUGGCAAGUGAGAGGCCCGGGGAAGUAGCAGCUUCAGGGUUUUCCAUCAACAGCAGUUACUGUGCAGGUUUUAGAGGAAAGAGGUCCAGAGGGAGAAAUCAGGACAGAGUAAGUGGCUCCCGUAUUGAUUUAAAAAGUCAGUCUUAAAAAAUAAAUAAAUAAAUAAAUAAAAAGUCAGCUUUCUUACCUGCCACGUCAAGGACCACCCAGGGCUUCUUGAUGGAGAUGGACAGCUCGCUGAGGGGGGUCACCAGAAUCCCCAAGCAGCCUGAGUCAUCCAGCACGGCUGCCUCGGGAGUGGGAGCCCCCUUCCCCUUUGGGACUGGGGAUAGUCCCACCUCCAGUGACCGUAUGCAGACUGGGCAUGGACCAGGGGCUUCUUUUUGGCACUUUUGGCCCAGUGGCCGGUUGACUUAUAUUUGAAGCAUUCCCCCCUGCUGGUUUUACCUCCAGGAGGAUGGUUAAACUUCCAUGGCCUCUUUGGGUUGUCCUGAGGUUGCAAGGCAUAGCUAACAGCCAUGGUCCUCAGUUUAGCUUGAGCCCUGGCCAGCCUAUUUGCACGUCAGUUUCUCUCUUCCUCCUUGGUUUGAUCUGGAUUAUUAAAUACCCCAGAGGUCUCCUCUAGGAGUUGGGGCAUCGGGGUCUGUGGGCCGAAUUGUAACUUUUGGAGUUUCUGCCUGCUGUCAGGGGCAGAAUGGCUGAUUAAAUGUUGUCCCAGCAGGGACUGACCCUCAGGAAUGGAUGGAUUGAGGUCAGUAGGUUUUUUUUAAAAACCACAAGCCAUCCCUGAAAGAGGGCUGGAUUUUCUUUUUUCUUCUUGGGUUGCUCCUUUGACCUUUUCAGAGUUAACUGGCUUCUUGAUGCACUUGCUCACCCCUUCUAAUACACACUGUAGUGUGCUCCCUGGCUUCUUGUUCCCUCCUGGGAAUUAUAAUACCCUCGGGAUUCCCGAUUUGAGACUGCGUCUCCACCCAUAACAAAGCGUUCGGGUUGGUGCCUGGUCCGUGUGCCCCUGGGCUGCUGCCCAAAUUCUCUGUUUUUCCUCAAGGGUACAGCAAGUAGAUAAGACUAUUUGGACACUCUUCCAAGUUAAAGGCCAGAGUUAGGGCCUGUUUCUUCUGACUUAGAAGAGGAUCCUUCCAUGUUGAUUAACCUGCAACUAAGAACGCUUCUAGAAAUGAAAUCCAUCCUGGAGACAUUUACCAGGAGGCUAUUAUCAGAAGAGGGUCGGGGUGUCCUCUGAAUUCCCUUCUUACCUAGUGAGACUUGGGGCAUCGUCUACUCUCCCUUGGAUUCCCUGGUGCCUCAGACAGUAAAGAGUCUGCCCUCAGUGCGGGAGGCCCGGGUUCUAUCCCUGGGUCAGGAAGAUCCCCUGGAGAAGGAAAUGGCAACCCGCUCCAGUAUUCUUGCCUGGAAAAGCCCAUGGAUGGAGGAGCCUGGCGGGCUCCAGUCCAUGGGGUCCCAAAGAGUCCGACACAACAGAGUGACUAACACUUUCACUUUCUUUCACUCCUGGUUUAGGCAUUUAGUCCUAAACAGGGACUCCACUGGUCUCAUGCAAGCCAGGCAGGUGGUCACCCUGGCCUGGAUCUGAGCCCUGACAUUGCCGUGAGUUCUACAUGACUUUGCGCAAAGCUGUUCCUUCUAUGCAAAGUUCCUCCCUGGCUGGGGCUCCUCUAAUGAAUUCCUGUGGGACGAUGAUGCCCACAUUCUCCUCUGCAGAGCCCUCUAUUUCCUCCCCUCCCCUGAGCACUAAGAAAAGAGGAGCACUGUUCCAAGGAGGAAGAUCAGGGUGGCCUAGGAGACACCCGAGGCCCUUUGAAUUGUUGUCGUUGUUCAGUCACUAAGUCAUUUCUGACUUCUUGAUCCCAUGGAUGGCAGCCUGCCAGGCCUCCCUGUCCGUCACCACCUCCUGGAGCUUGCUCAAACUCAUGUCCAUCGAGUCGGUGAUGCCAUCCAACCAUCUCAUCCUCUGUCGUCCCCUUCUCUUGUCCUCAAUCUUUCCCGGCAUCGAGGUCUUUUCCAAUGAGUCAGCUCCAAAGUAUUGGAGCAUCAGUCCUUCCAAUGAACAUUCAGGAUUGCUUUCCUUUAGGAUUGACUGGUUUGAUCUUGCUUUGAAUAUUUGAAAUUAAAAAUCCCUGGCUUAAGUCACUUCCUUGGUUAGUGGUGGAUAAAGUGUUCUCUGUUCAUUUCACUCGACCUGUCAGCAGCAGCCCCGGGACACCUUUGGGUGUGGUUUGGUGGUGUCAGGGCACACAGAUUUCAAGAACCUGUCAGGGAAGUGCAGCCUUCGUGACCCCUUCCCUGCUCCAUCCCCACACCCUCUCCCUCCCUGGAUGCUGACUCAGGACAAACACCAUGGCACCUUGCUUGUCGUGCCCAAGUGCCAUGUCCAGUCCAAUCCUGGGGCCUGGCGGCCCAGCUUCCAGUCUCCCUGGAUCCUCCAACGCCAGGAGUUUUCCAUGAUCUCUUCCAUCAUCCUGUCUCUCCCUCCUCUCUCUGGUCCAGCUCACCUCGCUGCUCCCCACCCGGGGCUCACUUCCCGUCCUGAGCCGCCAUCCCUACGCCUUUGGGGGAGUACAGGAGAGCUCCUUGCACUUUGCCUCCAAACAGUCUUUUGAGAUUCACCUGUGCAGCCUGCUCUGUUUCAGAGGUGGGUGAGGAGUCGGGGGGCUCAGAAGUCAGCUGGGAAGCGCCAGGGACCCAGACCAGCCUCCAGCUCUGAGCCACGGGGCGGCUGUGCCAUACACAGUGUGGGCCAAGAAGACUCCAUCCAGAUGUGUGUGCUGAACGCCAUCGAGCGAGGGGGCGAGAAGAAAGUCAGGACACGUGUACUGAUGCCCCCAGCCAUCCCGCACGGGGCUGGGGGAGCUGCCAACGGGGAUCCUCAAGGUCGGGAUGUGGCUUUGCUGGAUGGAACCCACCUUCAGCCCACUCUCCCGUCAGCCCACCCGGGCCGCUGAGCCCCAUAAGCAGCUGGAAAUGAGCCUGCAAGCCCACCCCAUUUGUCGGCCUACUUUUUUUUUUUUUAAGAAUUAUUGUAGUAAAAUAUACAUAACAAGGAACUUACCAUCUAAACCACGUUUAAGUGUACAUUCCAGCGGCGUUAAGUACAUUAUGCAGCUAUCACCACCACCCUCUCCAGAACGUUUCAUCUUCCCAAGUGGAAACUCUGUGCUCCGUGCCAGCCCCAGUCCCUGACCCCCACCAUCUACUUUCUGCCUCUAAGGAUUUGACUCCUCUAGGGACCUCAGAGAAGUGGAAAACUACAGGAUUUGCCUGUGGUGACUGGCUUACUCCCCUUGGCACGAUGUCCUUGAAGCCCAUCCGUGUUGUAUCUCAUGAAAGGGAAAGUGUUAGUCACUCAGUCGUAUCCGACUCUUUGCCACCCCACACUGUAGCCCACCAGGCUCCUCUGUCCAUGGGAUUUUCCAGGCAAGAAUACUGGAGUGGGUUGCCAUUUCCAUCUCCAGGGCAUCUUCCCAACCCUGGGAUCGAACCUGGGACCCCUGCAUUGCGGGCAGAUUCUUUACCAUCUGAGCCGCCAGGGAAGACCCUGUUGCAUCUCAUGACAAGCCUCUAUAAGUCUGACUCACACUCCACAGUAACGAUGCCCCACAAUUUCUUUAUCCGUCAUCCAUCAAUGGAUGUUGGGGUGCUGCUUCUUUUUGGCUCUUGUGAAUAAUUCUGCUGUGAACACCAGCGUCCAAAUAUCUGUUUGAGUCUCUACUUUUACCUCUUUUUGGGUGUAUGCCCCUGAGCAGAAUUGCUGGAUGAUAAAGAAUUAUAUGUUUGAUUUUUUGAAGAUCUGCCGUACCUUUUCCCUCGUGACCAGGAAUACAUCUUGGGAGUUGGAGCUGACAUGGUGUGGUGGUGAACUGAAUUCAGGAAAAGGAAGUGUUAAAGAUGCCUCGGAGUUUUUUUGUUUUGUCUUGUUUUGUUUUAUGGCCGCCAACCAGAGCUCGUACUUGGCACCAGCAGUGAUAGCUCCAAGUCUUAACCACUGGAUUGUUGGGGAAUUUCCAGCCUCAGAUUUUUUUUUUAAUGUUUAUUUAUUUAUUUUUGGCUGUGUUGAGUCUUAGUUGUGACACACAGGGUCUUCCUUGUGGCCUGCGGGAUCUUUCGUUGUGGUGCGCGGGCUUCUCUCUAGUUGGGACUCAUGGGUUUAACUGCCCUGUAGCAUGUGGGGUCUUGCGCUUCCCUGGGGCUCAGUGGUAAAGAAUCUUUCUGCCAGUGCAGGAGAUGUGGGUUUAAUCCCUCGAUCGGGAAGACCCCUUGCAGAAGGAAAUGGCAAUCCACUCCAGUAUUCUUGCCUGGGAAAUCCCAUGGACAGAGGAGCCUGGAGGGCUACAGUCCAUGGGGUUGCAGAAGAGUCAGACACAACUUAGCAACUAAACAGCAAUGAUGACCUCUGGGACCUUAGUUCUGCAGCCACGGACUGAACCCCCGUCCCCUGCAUCGGAAGGUGGAUUCUGAACCCCUAGACCACCAGGGAAGUCUCAGCCUUGGACCUUCAGCUUCAGGAAUAGUUGACAUAUAAUUGAGCGAUCGAUCCCUGCGUCGGAAGAGCCCCCAGAGAAGGAAAUGGCAACCCACUCCAGUUUUCUUGCCUGGAGAAUUCUGUGGACAGAAGAGCCUGGCGGGCUACAGUCCAUGGGGUCCCAAAGAGUCGGACAUGACUUAGCGACUAAAAGCCAUCAACAACAAGCUACACGCACUCAAAGUGUGCUGUUGGAUCGUAGACUCUGGUUUCUCUUCAGAUCGUAUAAAUCUUUCGCCUUUCACUGUGAUUUUAAUGGACAUUUCUCUGAUGACGAAUGAGGAACAUUUUUCAUAAACUUUUUUUUGCCAUCUCUAUAUCUUCUUUAAUGAAGUCAAGUGUGUUCAGAUCAUACAUAUAUGUAUUGGGUUGGCCAAAGGUUUUUCUGUAAGAUUUUACUGCAAAACCUGAAUGGAAAACAAACAAACAAAAAAAAAAAAACCUGAAUGAGGUUUUUGGCUAACCCUAUGUAUAGAAUUGAUGCCUUCAAACUGUGGUGCUGGAGAAGACUCCUGAGAGUCUCUUGGACCGCAAGGAGAUCAAAACCAUCAAUCUUAAGGGAAAUCAACCCUGAAUACUCGUUGGAAGGACUGAUGCUAAAGUUGAAACUCCAGUGUUUUGGUCAUCUGAUGUGAAAAGCUGACUCUUUAGAAAAGUCCUCAAUCCUGGGAAGGAUUGAGGGCAGAAGGAAGAGGGUGUCAGAGGAUGAGAUGGCUGGAUGGCACCACCAAGGCAAUGGACAUGAACUUGGGCAAACUUUGGGAGAUGGUGAAGGACAGGGAGGCCUGGUGUGCUGCAGUCCUUGGGGUCACAAAGAGCCGGACACGACUGGGGGACUGAACUGCAACAAUAUAAAUGUGUGUGUUUUCAUACAAUUGGGUUUUAUAUGCAGCUCCUUUAUCAGAUAUGUGACUUGGAAAUAAUUUUUUCCUGGCUGAUUUGUCUUUUUUAUUCUCCUAACUGUCAUUAACAGAGCAGAAGUUGCUCAUUUUGAUUAAAUCCAAUUUAUGAAUUUCUCUUUUCUGGAUAUGGCUUUUGGUGUUGUAUCUAAGAAAUCUUUACCUAAUCCAAGGCCAUAAAAGUUGUAUUUUUUUUCCUAAAUGUUUUAUAGUUUCAGCCCUUAUAGCUUUGUCUAUGAUCCAUUGCAGUUAAUGUUUGUAUGUGGAAUGAAGUUCAUUAUUUCUGUGUACAGAUUGCCAAUCUGUACACAAGAAAAUAAAGUCUGUCACUGCUUCCACUUUUUCCCCUCCUUUUUGCCAUGAGGUGGUGGGACCACAUGCCAAGAUCUUAGUUUUUUGAGUGUUGAGUUUCAAGCUAGCUUUCCACUCUCCUCUGUCAUCCUCAUCAAGAGGCUCUUUAGCUUCUCUUUGCUUUCUGCCAUUAGAGUGGUAUCAUCUACAUAUCUGAGGUUGUUGAUAAUAACAAUUGAUUUUUAUAUAUUGACCUUGUAUCCUGCAGUUUUGCUAAACUCACCUGCUCACUUGUUAGUUCUAACACAUUUUGUUUUUUUUUUAAAUAGAUUCCAUCAGAUUUUCUACAGAGAUGAACAUGUAGUAUGGGAAUAAAGACAGAUCUGCUUUUUCCUUUCCAAUCUGGAUGCAUUUCUUUUCUUUUUCUUUUUUUUUUAAAGCAGCUUUAUAGAGGUAAAGCAGACAUGUGACAAACAACACAUUAAUUUAGAAAGUAUAGAAUUUAACAACUUUUGAUGUAUACACCUGCAAAACCCAUCAUGACAAUUAUGAAAAUGAAUGUAACUCUCACCCCCAGAGAGUCCUGUGCCCAUUCGCAGCUUCUCUCUGCCGUGCUCUCCCCACCACCAUCCCCAGGCAACCGCUGUUCUGGCUUCUGGCACUACAGAUCGAUUUGCAUUUCCUAGAAUCAUAUGUAAAUGGAAUCUUCCAGGAAGUACUUGCUUCUAUCUGGAUUUUUCCAUGCCACAUGAUUUGUUUUAAACUAUGACUGUAAGCUGAAUUAAUCUAGUUCUCUCAGACACACAAGACGGAACAGAAGACUCUCAAGUACAACAAAAUGUUCCUAUCCACUUGAAAAUCUUGUCCAUCCAUUAAAUCAAACCCAAAUUGGGCAUAUCAAGUUCCCUUAAGCAUUUAAAAUGUGGGACACAUAGAGUUUAUACAAAAUUAUAUAAUACAGUGUUACCAAAUUCAUUGUAAACUUGUAUAAGCUCAAGUUUUUGUUUUGUUUUUUAUUUUUAUUUUUUUAUUGAGGUUUAGUUGAUUUACAAUAUUGUGCUGUUUCAGGUGUAUAGGAAAGUGAUUCAUUAUUUUAUAUAUUUAUACAUAUAUAUAUAUAUAUAUUCUUUUUCAGAUUCCUUUUCCUUAUAGGUUAUUAUAUAAUAUUGAGUAAAUCUCUGUGCUAUACAACCAGUUCUUGUUGGGUAUCUAUCUUAUAUAUAAUAGUGUGUAUAUGUUAAUCCCAAACUUCUAAUUUAUCCCUCUCCCCCCUUUUUCCUUUUGAUAACCAUCAGCUUGUUUUCUGUCUGUGGAUCUAUUUCUACUCAUUUGGACCUUUUUUUUUUUUUUUAAGAUUCCACAUAUAAGUGAUACCAUAUGAUAUUUGUCUUUUUCUGUCCUUUUUCUGUCCUGUACUUCACUUAGUAUGAUAAUAUCUAGGUAUCCAUGUUGCGGCAAGUGGCAUUACUUCACUCCUAUGGUUGAGUAACGCUCCACUGUAUAUAUUGAUUUUUACACACCACACCUUCUUUUUCCAUUCAUCUCUUGAUGGUCAUUUAGGUUGCUUCCGUGUCUUGGCUAUAUGUGUGUGACUAGAAUUUUCAUCUUCAUACCAUUUUCAUCUUCAUACCUAGUCAAAGAAAACAGAGGUGUCUAUCCUUGACCAAAUGCAGUUCUUUGGUGAAUGUUCCUGGACUGCACCCGAUGUGUAUAGUUUUCUUAGUCCAACACUUGGGAGCCCCUCAGGCCGCUGCAACAUGAGACUUGGGCGUCUGAGACCCAGCAGUGUGGUGGCUGUGGGUGGGGGCUCAUUCAGGAUGCUGUAGUUCACUCACACAGUUGCGUCUGACCCUUUGCAACCCCAUGGACUGCAGCACGCCAGCGUGGGGCUUGCUAAACCCACAGCCUCCAGCCAAGGUUUUGUCAGCACACGUGAGGCAACUUCCUUCAAACGUGCAGUUCCCUGGAGUGCAGCCUCCUUGCAGGGCCUCCCAGGCCUGACUGUUUCUGUUGCAGGUAACCCUGGUGCGCGCUCCUACCGCACUGGGGAUUCGGGUGUUUAGGAGGCUGGGAAUCCCCUCGGCAAGGGACGCGAGACCUUUGUGUCUCACAGUCCUCUGUCUCGUCACACACCCUGCUGGUCAGUUCACGCCAUUGCACCUGCUUCUCCGGAGCGUACGAGUGGUCCUGGCCCCCUGGGGCCUGCCAGUGAGCAGGGGCACCCAGGCAGGUGCCCAGGGACUGCAGGGCGAGGCUCAGUGGGAUUACGGCUCCAGGAGAGGUUCCAGCCCACCUUCCCCGCGAGCGGAAAGGAGGGAGAGGCCGUCCCCGGCCAGUGCCCGACUUUGGCCU